UGAGGAAUAUUGGUCAAUGGGCGAGAGCCUGAACCAGCCAAGUAGCGUGCAGGAUGACGGCCCUCCGGGUUGUAAACUGCUUUUAGUUGGGAAUAAAAAAGGGACUUGUCCCUUCUUGUAUGUACCUUCAGAAAAAGGACCGGCUAAUUCCGUGCCAGCAGCCGCGGUAAUACGGAAGGUCCAGGCGUUAUCCGGAUUUAUUGGGUUUAAAGGGAGCGUAGGCGGAUUGUUAAGUCAGCGGUUAAAGGGUGUGGCUCAACCAUGCAUUGCCGUUGAAACUGGCGAUCUUGAGUGCAGACAGGGAUGCCGGAAUUCGUGGUGUAGCGGUGAAAUGCUUAGAUAUCACGAAGAACUCCGAUCGCGAAGGCAGGUGUCCGGGCUGCAACUGACGCUGAGGCUCGAAAGUGUGGGUAUCAAACAGGAUUAGAUACCCUGGUAGUCCACACAGUAAACGAUGUAUACUCGCGGUUUGCGAUAGAGUGUAAGCCGCCAAGCGAAAGCAUUAAGUAUACCACCUGGGGAGUACGCCGGCAACGGUG
rnacentral:rRNA from 1 species